UGUUCUUAGGUUGUAUAUACUUCAUAUAUGCUGCCCCCUCUGAUUCUUGUUUUCAUCAAUUGUCGCAAUGAGACGAGCAUUGUUGUUUGGAAAUCGGCAUGAUAGGUGUCCCAUCUACAACCAAGAUUUGUUGUUGGCAGCUUUGUUUUUAUUCAUUGCAUUGGAGCUAACUACAUUCGGCUUCAAUAAAUCUUUGUUUUAUGCUUUAAUCUCUCUAUCUUAGCUAUACAUCUUGUCUUGUUCUUAUACCAGCUCAGAUCUUUUUUCUUCUUUAACUCUCAAGCCUUCUAUUAAUAACAUAA
rnacentral:lncRNA from 1 species